rnacentral:rRNA from 1 species
CCCUUAGAUGUCCUGGGCCGCACGCGCGUUACACUGAUGCAUUCAACGAGCUUAUAACCUUGGCCGAGAGGCCUGGGCAAUCUUGUUAACGUGCAUCGUGAUAGGGAUAGAUUAUUGAAAUUAUUAAUCUUGAACGAGGAAUUCCUAGUAAACGCAGAUCAUCAAUCUGCAUUGAUUACGUCCCUGCCCUUUGUACACACCGCCCGUCGCACCUACCGAUUGGAUGGUCCGGUGAAGCCUCGGGAUUGUGGUUCUUGCCGCUUUAUUGUGGCGUGACCGCGAGAACUUGUCUAAACCUUAUCAUCUAGAGGAAGGAGAAGUCGUAACA